GCCCCCGGGCUCACAGCCCACAAAGUUCCACCUGCUCACAGGUUGGCUGGCUCAACCAAGGUGGUCCCUCUGCUCUGAGCAUCCGGGCCAGUUCCAUCUAGCAACAUGGCCAGAUACAGAUGCUGCCGUAGCCACAGCCGGAGCAGAUGCCGCCGCCGGAGACCGAGAUACCGCCGCCGAAGGAGACGGUGCUGUCGGGGGCGGAGAAGGAGAGUGUGCUGCCGCCGCUACACCACGGUGAGGUAUAGGAGAAGAUGAACGCACAGAAAACACCGGCCCGCCACCGGCCCGCCGCACUCCUGCCCGCACCGCUACCAGCCGCCAAGACCCUCCUGCCGCCUCUUGAACAUGCCACCAGUUCAAUGACAUGAACAGGAGCCUGCUAACAAACCAUGCCGCCUGUCAAUAAAUGAUGAAAAAUCA